rnacentral:rRNA from 1 species
CNACCUGCCCACCACUUGGGGAUAACCUUGCGAAAGUAAGACUAAUACCCAAUGACGUCUCUANNNNACAUCUGAAGGAGAUUAAAGAUUUAUCGGUGAUGGAUGGGGAUGCGUCUGAUUAGCUUGUUGGCGGGGUAACGGCCCACCAAGGCGACGAUCAGUAGGGGUUCUGAGAGGAAGGUCCCCCACAUUGGAACUGAGACACGGUCCAAACUCCUACGGGAGGCAGCAGUGAGGAAUAUUGGUCAAUGGGCGAGAGCCUGAACCAGCCAAGUAGCGUGCAGGAUGACGGCCCUAUGGGUUGUAAACUUCUUUUAUACGGGAAUAAAGUGAGUCUCGUGAGACUUUUUGCAUGUACCUUAUGAAUAAGGACCGGCUAAUUCCGUGCCAGCAGCCGCGGUAAUACGGAAGGUCCGGGCGUUAUCCGGAUUUAUUGGGUUUAAAGGGAGUGUAGGCCGGAGAUUAAGCGUGUUGUGAAAUGUAGACGCUCAACGUCUGCACUGCAGCGCGAACUGGUUUCCUUGAGUACGCACAAAGUGGGCGGAAUUCGUGGUGUAGCGGUGAAAUGCUAGAUAUCACGAAGAACUCCGAUUG